AAAGGGAGACCUAAUUCAGGUAAAAGACGAAAAAAAGUAGUCGCUACCAAGAAUCAAUCCCAAAAGGUCGGAGCGAGGCGAAAUUGGCUUUCAAACUAGGUUCUGGGUUCAAACAAGACCUGAAUCAGGAACAAGGGCUAUUAGCUCAGGUGGUUAGAGCGCACCCCUGAUAAGGGUGAGGUCCCUGGUUCGAGUCCAGGAUGGCCCACCUGCACAGGUGGCAAAAACAAGAGAAGCGAGGAAUCAGCACCUUAUCUUACUGACAUAGUAAGAGAGAAUGCUGGCUCUGAGUAAAGAGUCCAGAGGAACCUUGAAAACUGCAUAGAGCUAGGUGAAAAAGCCAAAAAAGAAGACCGCAAG
rnacentral:tRNA from 1 species